rnacentral:rRNA from 1 species
CCUACGGGAGACAGCAGUGGGGAAUAUUGCACAAUGGGCGAAAGCCUGAUGCAGCAACGCCGCGUGAGCGAUGAAGGCCUUCUGGUCGUAAAGCUCUGUCCUCAAGGAAGCUAAUGACGGUACUUGAGGAGUUCCCCCCGGCUAACUACGUGCCAGCAGCCGCGGUAAUACGUAGGGGGCUAGCGUUAUCCGGAAUUACUGGGCGUAAAGGGUGCGUAGGUGGUUUCUUAAGUCAGAGGUGAAAGGCUCCGGCUCAACCGUAGUAAGCCUUUGAAACUGGGGAACUUGAGUGCAGGAGAGGAGAGUGGUAUUCCUAGUGUAGCGGUGAAAUGCGUAGAUAUUAGGAAGAACACCAGUUGCGAAGGCAGCUCUCUGGACUGUAACUGACACUGAGGCACGAAAGCGUGGGGAGCGAACAGGAUUAGAUACCCGAGUAGUC